rnacentral:rRNA from 1 species
UGGGGAAUAUUGGACAAUGGGCGAAAGCCUGAUCCAGCCAUGCCGCGUGUGUGAAGAAGGUCUUCGGAUUGUAAAGCACUUUAAGUUGGGAGGAAGGGCAGUAAGCGAAUACCUUGCUGUUUGGACGUUACCGACAGAAUAAGCACCGGCUAACUCGGUGCCAGCAGCCGCGGUAAUACAGAGGGGGCAAGCGUUAAUCGGAAUUACUGGGCGUAAGGCGCGCGUAGGGGGUUCGUUAAGUUGAAUGUGAAAGCCCCGGGCUCAACCUGGGAACUGCAUCCAAAACUGGCGAGCUAGAGUAGGGCAGAGGGUGGUGGAAUUUCCUGUGUAGCGGUGAAAUGCGUAGAUAUAGGAAGGAACACCAGUGGCGAAGGCGACCACCUGGGCUCAUACUGACCCUGAGGUGCGAAAGCGUGGGGAGCAAACAGG